AGGACACGCUGGCGGCGUGCCUAACACAUGCAAGUCGAGCGGAGAUACAUUGAAGAGCAAUCAGAUAUGUAUCUUAGCGGCGGACGGGUGAGUAACGCGUGGGCAACCUGCCUCAUACAGGGGGAUAACACAGGGAAACUUGUGCUAAUACCGCAUGAAAUCAUAGUAUGGCAUCAUACAAUGAUCAAAGGAGCAAUCCGGUAUGAGAUGGGCCCGCGUCCGAUUAGCUAGUUGGUGAGGUAACGGCUCACCAAGGCGACGAUCGGUAGCCGAACUGAGAGGUUGAUCGGCCACAUUGGGACUGAGACACGGCCCAGACUCCUACGGGAGGCAGCAGUGGGGAAUAUUGCGCAAUGGGGGAAACCCUGACGCAGCAACGCCGCGUGAAGGAAGAAGGCCUUCGGGUUGUAAACUUCUUUGAUAGGGGACGAUAAUGACGGUACCCUAAAAACAAGCCACGGCUAACUACGUG
rnacentral:rRNA from 1 species